AGCUUUGCGCACUGGCAGUAUCGUAGCCAAUGAGGUUUAUCCGAGGCGCGAUUAUUGCUAAUUGAAAACUAAAUAGAGGAACUGGAUUUUUAGCAUCCCUGUCUAAAGAACAUUUUGUCUUGUCUUCGUAUCUCCCUUUGAUGGGG